UGCAAAAUAGCCUGACGUUCAUCUCGCAGGAAACAAAACAUGCUUUCUACAUUUACAUUGGAAACGUGACUUCCAGGUGCACAGACAGCUGUCAGCCUGGCUACAGUAAGACUUCAGUUUCGGGCCAGCCUCGUUGCUGCUAUCAGUGUGAACCCUGUGCUGAGAACACCUUUUCCAAUACCACUGAUUCGGAGAAGUGUAAUCCUUGUGAAAAAAACUAUUACUCCCUAAAAGGCAGUUCAAAGUGUUUGCCAAGAAAAAUAGAUUUUC